rnacentral:rRNA from 1 species
GGCAGGCCUAACACAUGCAAGUCGAGCGCACCUUCGGGUGAGCGGCGGACGGGUUAGUAACGCGUGGGAACGUACCCUUUUCUACGGAAUAGCCUUUGGAAACGAAGAGUAAUACCGUAUACGCCCUUUGGGGGAAAGAUUUAUCGGAGAAGGAUCGGCCCGCGUUAGAUUAGAUAGUUGGUGGGGUAACGGCCUACCAAGUCUACGAUCUAUAGCUGGUUUUAGAGGAUGAUCAGCAACACUGGGACUGAGACACGGCCCAGACUCCUACGGGAGGCAGCAGUGGGGAAUCUUAGACAAUGGGCGCAAGCCUGAUCUAGCCAUGCCGCGUGAGUGAUGAAGGCCUUAGGGUCGUAAAGCUCUUUCGCCUGUGAUGAUAAUGACAGUAGCAGGUAAAGAAACCCCGGCUAACUCCGUGCCAGCAGCCGCGGUAAUACGGAGGGGGUUAGCGUUGUUCGGAAUUACUGGGCGUAAAGCGCACGUAGGCGGAUUGGAAAGUUGGGGGUGAAAUCCCGGGGCUCAACCCCGGAACUGCCUCCAAAACUAUCAGUCUAGAGUUCGAGAGAGGUGAGUGGAAUUCCAAGUGUAGAGGUGAAAUUCGUAGAUAUUUGGAGGAACACCAGUGGCGAAGGCGGCUCACUGGCUCGAUACUGA